UGUCAUAAAAGUCAACAUACUAUAAAGUCUUAGGUCAGAAUCAAUAUUUUUCCUAUAUUAUAGCUUUUCAACUUCAGAACGUACUUGGUAUCAAGUAUUUAAUAACCUAUCUGCAAUCUUUUAAGCUCCUGAAAUGCAGUAUCACUCACAAUAGCUAGCAAGCAUUGUUUAUCUGUGGCAGAAAGCAGGGAUCAGGAGUAACCCUUGCACUGAAAAACUGGCUCACCUCACAGCUGCCACAAAACUUCCAGUGGUAAAAACAACUAGAAAGUGAAACAAAAAGAUUAAGGUGACCAGUCUCCUGUGGUCACUGGUGGGUAGGGGCAGACACACCCACACCCUCUCUCUUACAGGUGAAAAGCCUUGGAAGACCCUCACACCGACCCCUGCACUCAGCGGACGUGACAAGCAAAGGACCUGGGUGCAGCCACAGGCACUGAUCGUGCUGGAAGAGUCCUGUGAGAGGUGUGAGCACCUCCCUGUGAGGGUCUCAUCUUCAGAACACCCAGGACACUCGGGUGCAGGGGGCAGCUACAGGCUGAGGAGGCCAGACCCCGCUACCAACUGCGUCCUCCUGUGGAAGAGGCCCGUCCUGGCCACACUGAGCGCCAUGACAGCACCUGGAAGCAGUGCUGGCAGGUACAGUGCUCAGGCUCUUCCCAGGGGCAGGGCCUGGAGCCGACAGCCUAGCAGACGCAGCAGCCCUAGGUUCAUGCGAUGCCUUGGAAACAGGACCCAAGGAAGCAGGAGGCGGCCCCCAAAAAUGGAUGCUCAAAAUGCUUCCUUCUCACAACAAAGCAGUCAACCCAUGAUGCUGCAGUGUGGUGGGUGCCUGAGCUCGGCGAUGUGCAAGGUCCUGGAGCCCAGACAGGCAGGGGGUGAAGGAUGAGCGGGAGCACUUCCUUCUUCCCGUUCCCACGUCUCUGGUUCCCAGGCCCACUGUCGGCCCAGUGGCCUGCAUCAGCUCUCGGGGUUCCCCUUGUAGAGCCUUGGCUGGCCAUUCUCUGUGGACUCCAUCAUUGUUCCUCCUAACCGCCCUCCUUGAACCAUGUGCCAGUUUUUCUCUUCCCACCCUUGUCACACUCAGAUCAGCCUCUCAACCAGAGCUGUCACAUCCCAGCAGAGCCAUUAGUGGAAACUGCUAUGUGUUAUGCCUUUCUCCGUUGAGGCCGAGGGAGGGAACAAUCAUCUCUCUACCCUGUCAUGCCAUCCUAAGUAACCAUUCCUAAGGACACCUAAGGAGCCUUCCUGAUUCUUCUGCCUGUUCUCUGGUGGAUGGUUGAGAGGGAAAGGGAAAGGACAUCUGUCACAGUGCUCAUGUGUGCCUCUGCCACCGGGAUGGCUUUCAGAUCAGUUCAGAGACCAAGUGGCUUCGCAGUGGAGGCACAGGUAGCUUGAGACAGUCUGGGUUCCAGCCACAGGCAUUCCUACUCCAAGGCCCACUGCCUUUCUCCCAUGGAAAUGCCUCUCAGCCCUCAGAGAACAUGCAAAUCACUAAAGGAUCUUGUUAAAAUGCAAAUUCAGAGCCAGCGGUCCUGACCGGGCCUGAGAUUCUGCUUUGUGACAGUGCCUGGGGUCCUGAUGCUGCCCCCCAGCUCCAGAGGUGAGCAGCAAGUGUAAGACGCAGCCUCCCAAUUGCAAGCCUAGGUAGCCCCGAGCACCCUACUGCUGGAUCUCAGGCGGGUGACAGCACCACAUCUUCCUCCAGGGCAGUAAAACAUUCUGCCGGGAUUUUCCUAAGGAAUGACUGUCACAGAAAUCCUAACAGAUAUUCAUUUAUACAUCCUAGAUACUUUCCGAGACACAAAGAAACAGAAACUGGCCCUCAGAAAUGGGUCCUCAGGGCCCUGGGGGUAUAGCUCAGUGGCACAGUGCCCACCCAGCAAGUGCAAGGUCUGCAGUUUGAUCUCUGGUGCUGGAAAAAAAAGAAGAAAUGGAUCCUCAGAAUGCUUCACAGUAAUAACAAAGCAGUCGAUCCAUGA